rnacentral:lncRNA from 1 species
GACGCGUCCCGGGUCCUCGCGCGCCGGUCGAGAGGGAGGGCCGCGCGCUGAGCCUGGUGAGCCCGGCUCAGGUCUGGGAGCCACCGAGCCCGCUGGCCUCGGCCGCCGUGGCCGCGCCGCGCCUCCGUCUACUGUCGGCCGCGCCUCCCGACUGCUGCUGCAUCCCCGCGGGCCGCGCAGCUCCAGCCGCCCGCCCCCAUCGGCGCCUGAGCGCGGCUGCUCCCCGCGCGGCCCCCGCGCUCUAGGCAACUUUGUGCGUCGUCCGUGCGGCGGGCGGGCGCGGCGGGCCAGACACGGGUCCCCGGCGGGCGCGAGGCCGAGAGCGGAGCGCGCAGCCCCGCCAAGCGUCUGCUGAACGGCGACCGCCUCCUCUUCCCCGCCUCUUCCUUCUCCUGCGCCUCGGCGGCCGCCGGAGCCACUCUUCAGGGAGGAAGCGGCCUCCGGGGCUUGUUGCUUUGUGCUGCAACCAUGGUGAGGAGUGAGUGACGGGCCGGGGGCCAGUCGGAGGCCGCCGCAUCAUCGGGGGCGGAGCGCCCCGUGGCGCCGGCCCGCCCCAUCGCUGGCCUGGCGGGGCCGCGCCCUCGCUGAGAGCCGCGUUCUGCCGGGGCCAGGUGCGGUGGGAGCCAGGACAGCCGGGGCUGUUGCGAUCGUUGAUCCCAUAGCUGAGCGGCCGCACCCCGACUCUCUGGCCUAGACCCCACAUCCCAGGCCUUGCGGCACGUCUCCCGCCUCUUCCCGGGCUGGAAGCUGACCCCACCCGGGAGAGGUCCCUGUGAGGACUCGGCUGCAGUGGCAGGUCUUCCCAAAGCUUAGGGCUGACUGGGAUUUUGCUUCGGUGGCAACAUUAACCAUCCUUGGAUUCUGUUUAUUUGUAGUGACUGCAAGGACAACGUUGCUCUCCUACCUUCCGCGCUCACUGACAUCUAAACCCUUAAAUGACUCCUGCGUUAGUCAGGUAGGAAUGUGGCUUUCCAACUCCAGACCUGGUAUCACAUCGGACAAGAAAACACCAGGUCAGCCCGUUGUAAUCUAGAGGCCAAGACAGCAAGUUCUCUGACAUAAUCAAGAAUGAAUAAUCCUAGGUCGGACUUUGCCUUCCACUGGGCAGAGCACCUUCUCAGGAUCGCGAGUUUCCAAUCCAGACUUGCCCGGUACAAAGCCCAUAUUAGUGUGUUAAGAUGUCCCUGCUCUUGGGAGUUCAUCCCUUCCUGACCAGGCUUGAGGUGUGCAGCGUCAGCCUCAAAGAAGAUUGCAGUGUUUGAAGUCUGUGUGGAGACUAAAGACAAUUGUUAUUCAAACUUAAAAACCUUUUUUUCAAGCAUAUUUUUCGAUAUCCAGUUUAUUAUUGUAAGCAAUUGGGACAGGCUGUCAGCUAGUAGGGGAGGAAGUCCUUAAAUUCGCCAGCACAGCGCUAAACGGAUUGCAUAACUUCCAAAAAGAAAGGAUCUGCGGGGGCCAAAAUUUAGAGAACUGAGUCUAAGUUACAAAGUAUAUCUAAUAAGUCCGGUUUUAUUGCUUUUACAGCAACUGCUUCCUGCUUUAUCUGAAGUCCUAGAGCAGCAACUUGAAUUCUCCAGGCUAAACCUCCACUUCAAAAGCAAAAUAACAGAAAAAGAGAAUUUUAAACCCAAUGAUCUGCAAAAUACAUAUACCCGACAUUCCCCAUUUGGAGUCUAUGCGACAUUUCAGAGUGUGUGUGUACAAAUCUGGUUCCACUUUUCUUGUCCCAAACAUCCCCCAUCCACAGCCUUAAAUGUCCCAAUUAAUAAGACACCAUUAUCACCAUCCAGGUUCCCCAGGGUUCAUCCUAGUAUCUUCUUAAUUUCUUUCUCCUCUAUGCAACAAAGUUUGGUACAGCCUUCUACCUCAACUUUCAAAGUUCUAAUAGAUGUGUAUUCCAGUCCCUACCACCUUUCCUACAGUGAUCAUGGUCCAAAGCACUACAACCCUCUGAUUGCAUUUUUCUAUAGUUAUAUCCCUAGUACCCUUUUUCUUUCUUUCCUUCUUCCUUUCUUUCUUCCUUUCUUUCUUUCUUUCUUUCUUCCUUCCCUCCUUUCUUGUUUCUUUGUUUCUUGUUUAUUUGUUAGUUUGUUUUCCUCUGAGUAGCCCAUUCUCAUGACAGCAGCCGGUGUAAAUGUGCUCCCGUGAGUCACUGCUUAUCUUCCAUGACAUUCAUCCCACAAGCCUAGAACUCUGUGGCCUCAAUGACCCCUGAACCUAGUCCUCCAACCUGUGACCUCUUCUGACCUACUCUCAUAUCCACUAUGUUCCCUACUCAGUUCCUCAGGCACACGAGCUUCCAUGCUGUUUCUAAAGAAAUAAAGCAAAUGUGGAUCUCCUGGCCUUCCAUCUGCUGUUCCUUCUACUGCUGUGUUGGCUCUACCUUUCCCCUUCCACCCACGGAAGAAAAAGAAAACAUAUGUAACAGAUGGAAUGCUGCUUUCCACCUCCUUUGCUCUUCUCUCAUCUUUAUUCAAAUAUCAUCUUCCCCAUGGUUGCGUAGCCUACCUUCCUGGCUUUAUUUAACACCUAACCUGCAUAUUGUAUUUUACUCAUUUUGUAUUUUCUUACUCCACUGUAAUGUCAGCUGUGCACGUCAAUGAUUUUUAUUUUGUUGACCUCUAUACCAACUAGUAUUAUUGGAUGGAUACUCGAAUUACUCAAAUACCUUAUAGUUGUAUGAUAUAUAUUAUUAUCACACCUAUAUGGUGGGAAAAAGGAAGUUGCAAGAGGACACACAAGCCCACUAAGCCUGUCUUCUGUCCUACAGAAAGAAUGCAUUUACUUCGUGCUGAAGAUUUGCAAGUAUCAAAUACAACACAUGCAAAGAUGUUGCACAGUGCUUGAGCCAUAGUAUGAACUCAACAAAUAGUUGUUAUUUUUAAGAUCAUAUUCGUCAUCCCCACCCUUUGAGGUUUGUGGACAGUUAUUAUCAUCCUGUUUACAGAUGGGGAAACUGGCAAUAAAGUGGGCUGUGUGAUUUGCCCUA